AUUGAACGCUGGCGGCAGGCCUAACACAUGCAAGUCGAGCGAGCGGCGGACGGGUGUGUAGUGUCUGGGAAACUGCCUGAUGGAGGGGGAUCACUACUGGAAACGGUAGCUAAUACCGCAUACCCUCAGAUGUGCCCAUGUGGGAUUAGCGAGUAGGUGGGGUAACGGCGCACCUAGGCGACGCUCCCUAGCUGGUCUGAGAGGAUGACCAGCCACACUGGAACUGAGACACGGUCCAGACUCCUACGGGAGGCAGCAGUGGGGAAUAUUGCACAAUGGGCGCAAGCCUGAUGCAGCCAUGCCGCGUGUGUGAAGAAGGCCUUCGGGUUGUAAAGCACUUUCAGCGGGGAGGCGUUACCCGCAGAAGAAGCACCGGCUAACUCCGUGCCAGCAGCCGCGGUAAUUC
rnacentral:rRNA from 1 species